ACAAAGGACACUUGAAGGUGCGACAUUACAUUUCACAAAGAAUCUACAUAUGAUUUCAUGACAACACAAUAAGUGAAUCCACGAAAAUUAUGCAAAACAAUUUGUUUUGAGAAGCAUAUUUUUGUUCAAGUAUACUUAAACAAGGGCGAAUUUCUCAUAAGUUAUAUAAAAAAAAUAUAUAAAAUAAAUAUCAAGGUGAAGCAACUUGCAAGCAGUUGUCAAAAGUUGUUCCAACAUGCUGAAUGACAAAUCCAUAGAUCUUGCUCUUGAGUUUCUCAAUCUUUUCGUCAAGAAAUUCAUCCCCCUUUGACACCACACGGUCCAACCAAUCAUUUACUCUCUUCAACUGCGAUAAUAUACCUGCAACGGAGCUGAAGUUGAAGGGCAGUGGUUUACUUCCAUCAAUUGUACAACCCCCCAAAGCCCGAAAACCUGCAUUCAGAGAGUCCUCAACAAAAUUUACGAACCAAAUUUGCAUCUCAGACUGCAACUUCAUCGCAAGUUCUACUGUUUCCUUCAUUCCAUGGUUCCUUGUCCAAACUCCGACAGUAGGAUCAAAUGCUGCUGAUGAACUAGCUUUUAGAGAUUGUCUUUUGGACAAACUCUUUGGCAGAGUGGUUGGAGGAUCAUUAUUCUUGUUGUUCAGCAGGGAAACAAUCUCAAGAUCAGUAGCUAAAGCAGCUUCAACCCAUAGAGAAGCAGAUUUUGAUUGUUCGGUUGGAAUGGCGGCAUGAUAAGAAGAGUGGCUAGCAGCAACUGAUUCAGCAAUUGCUGUGUAUUUCACAACAUCAUCAUAAACUGAGAAAAAUUUACCUAUGCUUGGUAAAGGAUUCCCAGCCUUUGAUACAGAAGACAGUUCUGAAAAAAAGCUUAAACUCCUAACAAUAGACUCAGUAGCUAUGGCCUCCUCCAAUGCUUCAGCUGCAGCUGUAGAAGCAAGAGCCCUCCUUUGCAUUGCCUCCUUUCCAAGUCUUGCAAGGUCUGCAGAGACUGUAUCCAAUGGAACACUACCAUCAGUCCAUUUCUUCUCAUGUACAGUGAAUCCCAGAGCUUCCUUCACUGUCUCAUUGCUUGAGGAAUCAUCAUCCUGAUUAGGCUGUCGACCAUUUGCAUCACUUAGACGCCUAGAAAGGGCAGCCUGAGUCCGCAAAAUUGCUCGCAGAUCUGGUUUCUUCUUCAAAUCACCCUUCUCUUUCUGCUUCCCCGGUGUCUCAUCCCAGCUCUUCCUACUACUCUUUGCAGACCCAACAAGUGCCUCUGGAACUUUUGAAAUACCAGCUACAAUUGUUGGAAUUUUUUUCUUGCCAGCAGAAUCUGCCACAGCAGGCGACACCUUGAAUCCUCCAGACAGCCUCCUUCCAGGAGAGAGCGAAGCUCUUCGAGCAUUAGGAGAGGCCUGCCUCCUACUUGGGGAUGGUUGCUUAUACCUUGAUGGAACUAUAAUAGCUGGCUCCCUUGCCACCUUCCUAUUUUCCUCCCGGGCUGCUACCAAGCUCGGAACCACACAUUUCGAGGGCGCUGGAGAAGCUGAUCUCUUCGUUUUUCCUGCAGGGGAGGGAUCCCUUUCUGCAACAGCCACAUUUUUCUUACCUGCAGACACCGUCUUUGCUCCGGCUGGUGAAGAAAAUCUCUGAGGCACCUUAUCUGAUCCUUUAUUUUCCUCAGAAUUGGCGAGGUGUCCAACCAUCAUGUUAUCUCGACCUGCAAGAGGUUGCCUUGUUGUUUUACUGCUCUUUUCAAUUUUAUUAUCACUCUUCACUCCCUUAUUUUCAUUUAGUGGCACAUCCUCGCAUUUCUUGUUCGCCAAAUACACCGCAAUUGGAUCCACGGAGUACUCUGAAUCGGCUACAGGUUGAAUCACAAACUCUUUCUUUGAAGCCGAAAUACUAGCAAUGAGCGGUUCUGGGGUCCCCACAAAGGGGUGGCGGCCAGCGAUCGGACGGAUGCCACAAACCCUAGGGACAGGAGAAUCGAAUUCAAAGCGUUCAACGUAAACAAAUUGGCCAAGCUGGAGGCGAUUAGAAAGAAUGAGGUCAGUGUCGCGUUCGGAGAGGGAAACGUAGGUGGAGUUGAGAGAAUCAGAGAGGUGUACGAAGAAGCCAUGGUUAGGCCACAGAUCGGAUCCAGCGAGUGCGGGGACUAUGCCGAUGACUUGGAGGAGAGCAAAGCGGUGUUCUCCGGUGACACGGGCAGUGGAGUUCAUGGACUGAAGAAGCUUGAGGAGGAUUCCUGGAAUGAGAGAAGCCAUCGAGAGACAGAGAGAGAGAGAGAGUAGUGUUUUGUUGUAUUUUGAGAUGCGGAAGAGUAGAGAAAUCGAGGAGGAGAAGCGAGUGUUUAGCCGUUACAAAUUCAAAAUCAGAGGCCCGCUACUAUAUUAGUUUGAAUUGGGUAGGGACAGAGGGACAGCUUACUGCGUUAACUGUUACCUUGUUUAUAAGGUGGAAAGACCAUUGUUGCGGCCGAUGAAGGUAUCUGUGGAAAUCUG
rnacentral:misc_RNA from 1 species